GAGGAGGCAUUUCUCGUACACACCCGGCCCCAGCCGUGGAGGGAGGAGACUGGUGUGUUAUUUUUGUGUUUUUUGAAGCGAAUUAUCCUGUUGCCGAGGGAGCCAUGCAUCUGGAAACGGCUGGGGAAGGAGACGGUGGCUGAGUGGUUAGCGUGCCGGUCCUGCGUUGACUGUGUCAUGGAUGAUGAGGGUUUGAAUCUGUCGCUGCCACUGACUUCUUGUCCUGAAGACCACCACCAUCAUCCUGGACUGUAUGGGACUGUCCAAGGGAAAGCAAGAUGGGGCUGCUAUAAACACUUGCCGGCUUGGGCCCACCACCAGGCCCAGCCGAGGGAGGUUGGUGUAGCAGUGCCGGGAGGUUCCAUAACACAGGGCACUCCUCACCUCAACAACAGUCUCUUCACCGACAAGUAAUUCUUCACCAACAAGCUUUUCAGCAGCUUGGAGGAAUAGAGACAAGAGGAGGAGGAGGAAGAAGAGGAGGAGGAGGACUUUGAAGACUGACAGACAGACAUCAUUCCAGUGAUGAAAGAGGAAGAGGAAGAGGAAGAGGAGGAGGAGGAGGACACAGGAAUUUCUUGGUGAGUGUUAUUUUUAUUUCUUUGUUCCAUUUAUCAAUAUUUUCCCUUGUUUCCUCUUUUUCUUA